rnacentral:rRNA from 1 species
CCCUUUGAAACGGUGCCCGUGGCCUAACCAUGUUAGUCGUACGAAGAGUCACCCGUAGCUUGCUCUCGGGUGACGAGUGGCGGACGGGUGAGUAAUGUCUGGGAAACUGCCUGAUGGAGGGGGAUAACUACUGGAAACGGUAGCUAAUACCGCAUAACGUCGCAAGACCAAAGAGGGGGACCUUCGGGCCUCUUGCCAUCAGAUGUGCCCAGAUGGGAUUAGCUAGUAGGUGGGGUAACGGCUCACCUAGGCGACGAUCCCUAGCUGGUCUGAGAGGAUGACCAGCCACACUGGAACUGAGACACGGUCCAGACUCCUACGGGAGGCAGCAGUGGGGAAUAUUGCACAAUGGGCGCAAGCCUGAUGCAGCCAUGCCGCGUGUAUGAAGAAGGCCUUCGGGUUGUAAAGUACUUUCAGCGGGGAGGAAGGCGAUAAGGUUAAUAACCUUGU